rnacentral:rRNA from 1 species
UACAGAGGGUGCGAGCGUUAAUCGGAAUUACUGGGCGUAAAGCGCGCGUAGGCGGCUUGUAAGUCGGUUGUGAAAUCCCCGGGCUUAACCUGGGAACUGCAUCCGAGACUGCAUAGCUAGAGUAUGGGAGAGGGAAGUGGAAUUUCAGGUGUAGCGGUGAAAUGCGUAGAUAUCUGAAGGAACAUCAGUGGCGAAAGCGACUUCCUGGACCAAUACUGACGCUCAUGUGCGAAAGCGUGGGGAGCAAACAGG